AUUUAAUACACUUUAUUGACUGUAUUCUUAGUUUUACAUUCUGCAGUUGAAGAUACUUACAUUUUGCCAUGCUGACUAAUGCUUUGUGCUGCAGGAUAUUGGAGCCUAGUGCACCAUGCAAUUAGAAUGCCAGUGCAAUGGUAGCUUAUGCAAUUUAGAUGUGAAAUUUUAUAUGUAAUAACAAAACAUUGCACACUAAUUAUGUUCCACUUCAAAAUUCAUCACUAUUGGAAGCAUUCUUCUAUGAAACAAGAUAAAAAUAAAACAAGAAGAAGGAAGAACACAAAAAAGUGCUAUGCCAGUAGUAUUAUGUUGUUGAGUAGCAGUAUCUGUGAAUGAGAAUGUAAAAAUAUGAUCUCCUUUUGGAAUAAUUAAGCCAUAUCCAUUUAACAUCCACACAUGACACAGCCACAGAGAAAUUCUAUGCAUAUCCUCUGUUUACCAAGUACUAUUUUUCACAAAUUGUCAGCUGAGGGAAAUAAAUAGAGUUCUGACCAUGUUCACCUCUUUCAGGUUCAGAUAUGUCCUCCUGCAUUCAUAUUUCUACUGACUUGAGGAAACUUUCAUGAAUCCAACAAAUGAAGGAAAGCAAUUACCAGAUCUAACAGUCCAUUCUUGGAGUGCUACCAUUUUUUACUGAUCAACAAUUGAAAAAACUGAAGGCUUAACUAAAGGUUUGCCAGCAACGAUAUUCAGGAAAACUAAAUGGAACAGCUAACAAUCCAUAAUUCACAGGGUCUUCCCCCCACGUGUGCUUCUGGG
ensembl:lncRNA